AUAGCGUAUAUUAAAGUUGUUGCAGUUAAAAAGCUCGUAGUUGAAUUUUUGGUGGAGCCAUCCUGUCCUUCACUUGGUGUUGGCACUUGGUUGGUUCUCUGCCCUCCUUGGCUGGAGCCAGCAUGGCAUUUGGUUGUCGUGUUGGGGACGGUCAUCUUUUACUGUGAAGAAAUUAGAGUGUUCAAAGCAGGCUUAGGCCUUGAAUACAUUAGCAUGGAAUAAUGAAAUAGGGUUUUGGCACUAUUUUGUUGGUUUGCGCGCCGAAACAAUGAUUAAUAGGGACAGUUGGGGGUAUUCGUAUUCAAUUGUCAGAGGUGAAAUUCUUGGAUUUCUGGAAGACGAACAACUGCGAAAGCAUUUACCAAGGAUGUUUUCAUUAAUCAAGAACGAAAGUUAGGGGAUCGAAGAUGAUUAGAUACCAUCGUAGUCUUAACCAUAAACUAUGCCGACUAGGGAUUGGCGGUUGUUUCAUUUUGACUCCGUCAGCACCUUAUGAGAAAUCAAAGUGUUUGGGUUCCGGGGGGAGUAUGGUCGCAAGGCUGAAACUUAAAGAAAUUGACGGA
rnacentral:rRNA from 1 species